rnacentral:rRNA from 1 species
UACACUCCUACGGGAGGCAGCAGUGGGGAAUUUUGGACAAUGGGCGAAAGCCUGAUCCAGCAAUGCCGCGUGAGUGAAGAAGGCCUUCGGGUUGUAAAGCUCUUUUGUCAGGGAAGAAACGGUGAGAGCUAAUAUCUCUUGCUAAUGACGGUACCUGAAGAAUAAGCACCGGCUAACUACGUGCCAGCAGCCGCGGUAAUACGUAGGGUGCAAGCGUUAAUCGGAAUUACUGGGCGUAAAGCGUGCGCAGGCGGUUUUGUAAGUCUGAUGUGAAAUCCCCGGGCUCAACCUGGGAAUUGCAUUGGAGACUGCAAGGCUAGAAUCUGGCAGAGGGGGGUAGAAUUCCACGUGUAGCAGUGAAAUGCGUAGAUAUGUGGAGGAACACCGAUGGCGAAGGCAGCCCCCUGGGUCAAGAUUGACGCUCAUGCACGAAAGCGUGGGGAGCAAACAGGAUUAGAAACCCCGGUAGUCCCAUGAU